rnacentral:rRNA from 1 species
UACGAAGGGAGCUAGCGUUGUUCGGAAUCACUGGGCGUAAAGCGCACGUAGGCGGAUGUGUCAGUCAGGGGUGAAACUCCGGAGCUCAACUUCGGAACUGCCUUUGAUACAGCACGUCUUGAGUCCGGAAGAGGUGGGUGGAAUUCCUAGUGUAGAGGUGAAAUUCGUAGAUAUUAGGAAGAACACCGGUGGCGAAGGCGGCCCACUGGUCCGGUACUGACGCUAAGGUGCGAAAGCGUGGGGAGCAAACAGGG